AUCUACAGCCAGGCCACCCUGAACAAGCCCGAUCCUAGCUGAUCUUGGAAGCUAAGCAGGGUUGGGCCUGUUUAGUAUUUGGAUGAGAGACCACAAAGACCAGGUGCUGUAGGUG
rnacentral:rRNA from 1 species